GACGAACCGUGCAGACGUUGUUCGGAAUCACUGGGCUUAAAGGGCGCGUAGGCGGCAGACCAAGUCCGGGGUGAAAUCUUUCGGCUUAACCGGAAAAGGGCCUUGGAUACUGGUUUGCUAGAGGGAGGUAGGGGUCUGUGGAACUUCUGGUGGAGCGGUGAAAUGCGUUGAUAUCAGAAGGAACGCCGGUGGCGAAAGCGACGGACUGGAUCUCUUCUGACGCUGAGGCGCGAAAGCCAGGGGAGCAAACGGG
rnacentral:rRNA from 1 species